rnacentral:rRNA from 1 species
GACGAAGGGGGCUAGCGUUGUUCGGAAUUACUGGGCGUAAAGCGCGCGCAGGCGGCUAUCCAAGUCAGUGGUGAAAGCCCGGAGCUCAACUCCGGAACUGCCAUUGAAACUGUUUAGCUUGAGGACGAGAGAGGUGAGUGGAAUUCCCAGUGUAGAGGUGAAAUUCGUAGAUAUUGGGAAGAACACCGGUGGCGAAGGCGGCUCACUGGCUCGUUUCUGACGCUCAGGCGCGAUAGCGUGGGGAUCAAACAGG